UUAUAGGGUGCUUGGGGUCAAAUCCAGGGCUCCAUGCUGAAAGACCCCCAGAGCGGGGAGACCCUCACUCAAGUCUCGGGAUGACGUGAUCCCCCCCCCAAGAACUCACGUAAGA
rnacentral:pre_miRNA from 14 species